GUGCCAGCAGCCGCGGUAAUACGGAGGGUGCAAGCGUUAUCCGGAUUCACUGGGUUUAAAGGGUGCGUAGGCGGGCAGGUAAGUCAGUGGUGAAAUCUUUGGGCUUAACCCGAAAACUGCCAUUGAUACUAUCUGUCUUGAAUAUUGUGGAGGUAAGCGGAAUAUGUCAUGUAGCGGUGAAAUGCUUAGAUAUGACAUAGAACACCCAUUGCGAAGGCAGCUUACUACGCAUAUAUUGACGCUGAUGCACGAAAGCGUGGGGAUCAAACAGGAUUAGAUACCCUAGUAGUCC
rnacentral:rRNA from 1 species